UACGUAUGGUGCAAGCGUUAUCCGGAUUUACUGGGUGUAAAGGGUGCGUAGGUGGCAUGGCAAGUCAGAAGUGAAAGGCCGGGGCUCAACUCCGGGAUUGCAUUUGAAACUGUCCGGCUGGAGUGCAGGAGAGGUAAGUGGAAUUCCUAGUGUAGCGGUGAAAUGCAUAGAUAUUAGGAGGAACACCAGUGGCGAAAGCGCUUUACUGGGCCGUUAUUGACGCUGAGGAACGAAAGCCAGGGGAGCAA
rnacentral:rRNA from 1 species